UUAUAGGGUUAGUCUAGUGUUUUUGUUUUGAUUUGUUUUGUUUUUUGUUUUUUUGAGACAGUCUCGCUAUGUAGUCCAGACUGGCCUCAAAUUUAUGUUGCUCCUCCUGCCUCAGCCUCCCAAGUCCUGGGAAGUCUAGUGCUUUAUGAUUGAAAACAGGAAGGAAAUAUGUAAAUUCAGAAAAAAGUAUAAAUUAGUUUAUACUUGCCAAUAUAUGCUAUUGCCAUAGAUUAAAAUUUUUAAUGACUGUUACUCAGGAUUUGACUAUUGAUUUGUUGGAAAUUUUUAAAAUAAAGGGCAAUAGUCUGUCUCAAAAUAGAAUUUUGGUUUUAUCGUUUACAGGAAUUUGCACUACACAAAUUGAAUGCAGUUGUCAAUGACUUCUGGGCAGAAAUUUCUGAGUCUGUAGACAAAAUAGAAGUUUUGUAUGAAGAUGAAGGUUUCCGAAGUCGGCAGUUUGCAGCCUUAGUGGCAUCUAAAGUGUUUUAUCACCUGGGAGCCUUUGAGGAAUCUCUGAAUUAUGCUCUUGGAGCUGGUGACCUCUUCAAUGUCAAUGAUAACUCUGAAUACGUGGAGACUAUUAUAGGUAAUUAUCUUUGAUCUGCUAAGGCUUCAUCUCAGUGGCUUCCUGCUUCCUCUGGUGCAUAGGUGCCCAGCCUCUUGGCUUGCUUGGGCCACAUUGAGAGAAGAGCUAUCCUUGGCCACAGUUAAAAUGCAUAUACAAUGUAUGUACAUAACAAAACUUUCUUUAAAAAUGUUUUUUAUUGUAACAUUAGAAAAAGACAGUAAAUAUAGAGCUAGUGGGAUAUUUGACCUUAUUUUUGUGAAACUAACAGAUUAAUGUCUGGUUCAAAGGAAGCUGAGGCACAUUCCAGGUCAUUUGG
rnacentral:lncRNA from 1 species